rnacentral:rRNA from 1 species
GAGUUUGAUCUUGGCUCAGGAUGAACGCUGGCGGCGUGCCUAAUACAUGCAAGUCGAGCGAACGGACGAGAAGCUUGCUUCUCUGAUGUUAGCGGCGGACGGGUGAGUAACACGUGGAUAACCUACCUAUAAGACUGGGAUAACUUCGGGGAAACCGGAGCUAAUACCGGAUAAUAUUUUGAACCGCAUGGUUCAAAAGUGAAAGACGGUCUUGCUGCCACUUAUAGAUGGAUCCGCGCUGCAUUAGCUAGUUGGUAAGGUAACGGCUUACCAAGGCAACGAUGCAUAGCCGACCUGAGAGGGUGAUCGGCCACACUGGAACUGAGACACGGUCCAGACUCCUACGGGAGGCAGCAGUAGGGAAUCUUCCGCAAUGGGCGAAAGCCUGACGGAGCAACGCCGCGUGAGUGAUGAAGGUCUUCGGAUCGUAAAACUCUGUUAUUAGGGAAGAACAUAUGUGUAAGUAACUGUGCACAUCUUGACGGUACCUAAUCAGAAAGCCACGGCUAACUACGU